rnacentral:rRNA from 1 species
CCUACGGGUGGCAGCAGUGGGGAAUAUUGCACAAUGGGCGCAAGCCUGAUGCAGCGACGCCGCGUGCGGGAUGGAGGCCUUCGGGUUGUAAACCGCUUUUAUAGGGGGGCAAGCUAUGCCUGUGUGGUGUGGUGAGUGGACUUUAUGAAUAAGCACCGGCUAACUACGUGCCAGCAGCCGCGGUAAUACGUAGGGUGCAAGCGUUGUCCGGAUUUAUUGGGCGUAAAGGGCUCGUAGGCGGUUUGUUGCGUCUGGUGUGAAAGCUUACUGCUUAACGGUAGGUUGCGCUGGAUACGGGCAGGCUUGAGUGCAGUAGGGGAGACUGGAAUUCUCGGUGUAACGGUGGAAUGUGUAGAUAUCGGGAAGAACACCUAUGGCGAAGGCAGGUCUCUGGGCUGUUACUGACGCUGAGGAGCGAAAGCGUGGGGAGCGAACAGGAUUAGAUACCCUGGUAGUC